rnacentral:rRNA from 1 species
UACGAAGGGGGCUAGCGUUGUUCGGAAUUACUGGGCGUAAAGCGCACGUAGGCGGAUUGUUAAGUCGGGGGUGAAAUCCUGGAGCUCAACUCCAGAACUGCCUUCGAUACUGGCGAUCUCGAGUUCGGGAGAGGUGAGUGGAACUGCGAGUGUAGAGGUGAAAUUCGUAGAUAUUCGCAAGAACACCAGUGGCGAAGGCGGCUCACUGGCCCGAUACUGACGCUGAGGUGCGAAAGCGUGGGGAGCAAACAGGG